GCUCUGAUAGCUCAGUUGGUUAGAGCGUCGUGCUAAUAACGCGAAGGUCCGGGGUUCGAACCCCCGUCGGAGCA
rnacentral:tRNA from 1 species